UACGUAGGGUGCAAGCGUUAAUCGGAAUUACUGGGCGUAAAGAGUGUGUAGGCGGUGUUCUAAGUCUGUUGUGAAAUCUCCCGGCUUAACUGGGAGGGUGCGGCGGAAACUGGAAUGCUAGAGGAUGGGAGAGGUAAGCGGAAUUCCUGGUGUAGCGGUGAAAUGCGUAGAUAUCAGGAGGAACACCUGUGGUGUAGACAGCUUACUGGACCAUUUCUGACGCUGAGACACGAAAGCGUGGGUAGCAAACAGG
rnacentral:rRNA from 1 species